UCUGCUUGAUAUAGGUUUGUUUGUUGAAGAUAUUGGUGCUACACCUCCGGGUUGAUAUGCUGUACCACAAGAAAUGAAGAGCUCACCAGGGUUCGAGAGGAACAGCCGGGCAUAAGCAAUCAGAUCAGCAUCACCUUCAGCAAUGGCCUUCAUCCCCAGCUCUUUGUUGAAUCCUCCACUAAUCAUGAAGGUUCCUUGGUAACAGAAUUUAAGCCCCUGCUCUUCCUGCAGCUUGUUAAGUCUCUCUACCACUGCUAAGCCGAGGCCUAGCUGAUCAGAAUCGUGGG